rnacentral:rRNA from 1 species
UACGUAGGGUGCAAGCGUUGUCCGGAAUUAUUGGGCGUAAAGAGCGCGCAGGCGGUCGUGCAAGUCGCGUGUGAAAGCCCCCGGCUCAACUGGGGAGGGUCACGCGAUACUGCUCGACUCGAAGGCAGGAGAGGGUAGUGGAAUUCCCGGUGUAGUGGUGAAAUGCGUAGAUAUCGGGAGGAACACCAGUGGCGAAGGCGACUACCUGGCCUGUUCUUGACGCUGAGGCGCGAAAGCUAGGGGAGCAAACGGG